UUUAUCUAGAUUGAACGAAACGCUAGAUCAAACUAACAUUUACUAGAAUAUUUCAGAAUAAGCUAAUGACAGACUUUUUAGAUCAGAAAACACGUAGAAUUGGAUACUUUCAUCAAUCAAAACUGUACCUGGAUUUCUAGGCGUCUCGGAAAAUCUGUCCGAUAACGGCAAAUGCAACUUGCAAAAUAGGUCAAACACAAAUUUCUCUCUUGAAAUUCGAACUAAAAAACUGUUCGGACAUAGAAGAGCAAGUAUCCUUGACACUGAACUCGACAGAGAAGACGAUUUUAUGUAUUUUAACUGUCAUCUGUCUUGCACUUGUCCUUUGGAGCAUGUGUCGAAACAGGACUCUGAUACAAAAGACUUACAAGGAACUUUCCAACCGGAAUGUAUGGGACAGUCGGCGACCAUUGUUAGCUAUAUUGGCAACAUUUGGAUCGAUGAUUUUUGAUAUUCUAACAUUCACAAAAAAAGUUGAAGAUAACUAAACGCUAAUUAUCUGUUUUGGUCUUGCACUUUUGUUGACCUUUGCGUCGUUGGUUCUUGUCAGUAAUACGCCUACUAUUAGCAUAUGCGAAGGAGUCAGAAAAUCUUUCGAACGGUUUAUAGAAAAAUUUGAAAACUGUAUACUUUCAAACGGACCCAGAGAACAGAACACCGUUGCAUACGAUGCUGCUAACACAGAUGAUCAUGAUGACACAGCAGGAGAACAGUCUGUUUAGUUUUCGGAUUCAUUGUACAGAGUCGAUGAUGUGUAAAUACAUGUAGUUGAUAUCUUAUAUUAGUCCAUUAUAUUUAUGUCGAAGAAGACAAAUUUAACAAAACUUCACUUUCAUUUUAAAUUCACAUGAAUUGUAUGUGUGACUGAUUCCUUUAACAUCCAUUUUGUUUGUCAAUCACUGUGAUAGUUUUAAAAUUCUAUUUGUUUGGAUCUAUACAUAUGAGAAUAGGUAAUUUUGAGGAGAAAGGUCAAUUCGGUUCUUAUUAAGGAUCGAACCGUCUCUGGGACAAGUUUGCUAUUCCGCUGCAAAAGCUGCCACCUUAAUUUUUGAGGUAGGUCAAAAUAAGUUGAUAACUUCGUUCGUAUUGGUUUCCAGAUAUUUGUCCUGAAACCUUUUACACACACCGGAAUUGUAAACUUGUCCCGGAGACUGUUAUAUCAUGAAUUAUUAAGAAAAUUGAAUUUCAUUUGAAAGAAAUAUGCCAGUUUAAGUUUUAUAUGUCAUAUUAUUACACGAAACUAUAUGGAGUAAUUUUCUGUAAAAAAAGAAAAAACACCCGAAAAUAUAAUUGUUCUGGGUUUUUUUAUUAUUUAUAUACAAAAAUUACAUAAAAGCCAAAUGACGCUUUGAAAAUUCUGGGUCAUGAUUUUUUGUUUGCUUAAAUCUUUAGCCCAAACGUGACAAAAUUACAUAAUGAUACUGACGUUAGCGUGAAUGAAAUCUCUAAAACAUGUUGUUGAAUCAUCUAUUCAUAGCAUUUAUAAUUAAAAAGAUCUGCUACAGCCUUUUAAUAAUUUAAUUAUACAUUUUGAAGAAAAACUUGCAUUCUGUUUCUUUUUUUUUUCAUUUGUUUUAGUUUAUUUAUCACUGUAUAUACUCUACAUAUUGAUAUGUUGUUCUAUCAAUUUUGUUGCCGUAUUUGUUCACUAGACUUUUUUGUAAAAAUUGUAUAUUGCAAAACGGACUGUGUAUAUAAACAACCCCACCAGUAACGAAAUAUUGUAACUCCUGAAUAUUAUGUUAUUUUGUUCACAACACUUUAUUUAAAAAGAUUAAAAAAAAAAACCAAUAUGAACAUUUUUUAUCGAAAGGUUCUGAAAGUAGUUUUACAGUAAUAUAACAAAAUGUUUUAUUUUUCGGUUGCCCUAGCCAAAACUAGUAUACACUAAAUCGAAGCCUAAUUUGGCUACAAAGGGUCUUAGUUUCAAGCCUAAAAGAAAACAUAAAGCAUAUAUACCCAUUUCAUACAAUAAGUCGUGUUUAAGGUGUAACUUGGCUGGACCAAUAUCAUUUUAGAUCUAUUGUGUUUAAGGCAACUCAAAUACUGAAGAAAUAACAUGUCUGAUUAAAAUUUCAUAUCCUCUGUAACACAUUUUUAAAAAGUGUUUCAAUCUGAAUUAAUUGCAGCUCCCAUUUAUUACUAUUAUUUUUGAAAUUACAUUCAGUUGGGAGGAUAAAGUUUUUCUUUUAGACUUAAGUGAUCUCAUUAUUUCCUCACACAAAUUAAGUUUUUAUUUUUUAAUAAAUGAAUUGCCACAGCUUGCUUUAUCUAGUCUUGAAAAUAAUACGUUCAUUUGUGGUGUAUUUUGUUUUUUUAUCCUUGUUACUUUUUCAAAAUUUUUGAAAGAAAAAGGAUGACAAUGUUUAAUGUAUAAAAAGUUUAAAGAGAAUUAUUUCCCGCCAAAUUUUCAAUGUCAAGUAUAUCUCCAAAACAAGCACACGGACCUCUUAAUAGUGUUUUUGCUUUUUAGUUCCUUUAUUUAUAUACUAUAUACUAUUAGACCGUUGGUUUUCCGUUUGAAUGGUUUUACACUAGCAAUUUUUUGGGGCCCUUUAUAGCUUGCUGUUCGGUGUGAGCCAAUGCUCCGUGUUGAAGGCCGUACCUUGACCUAUAAUGGUUUACUUUUAUAAAUUGUAACUUGAAUGGAGAGCUGUCUCAUUGGCACUCAUACCACAUCUUCCUUUAUCUAUAUAAAUACAUAACAGUCUUUUCAAAACUCUUUUUAUUUUGAAGCAGAGUAGCGAACAUCAUUUAAGAGCAUUUUUUAAAAACACUAGUUCAUUUUGAGUGUUUAUGUGAAUUUUAUGUUUUAUCCUAUUGACUCAUUAUUAAUGUUAUGCAGACUUGUUGAUUUUGGAUGAAAAGCCAGUUACUUUACUUACAAGUAAAAUGAGUAUUUAUGUUUAUGUAUAUUCUUACAAUGUACAGUUUGUUACUAUUUGUUAUAAAACUGUUUUUGCUCGAUGUUAUUGCAAUCAU